CUUGACAAGAGUAGUCUUGCCCCAACCUCCCAAACACCAAUCCUCUUAUACUCUUCACUUUUCAACAUAUCCAUCAUCUUGGCAAAAUUUUUGAUGUUGUGGGUUAGUUGAUCUUUUGUUUUACUGAGGCUCAAAACCUAGACCUCCCACAUAAGAGAGCAAUUUGAUACCAGUGAACCACAAGCUACUAGUGGAGAGACUAGGCCUCAACAAUUAUCUAAUUCUACAGUUGAGAGCUCCCCCAGCAUCACGUGCAAGAUGAACCCUCAAACCUUUCAUAGCUUCAGUGAACACCCAGGUGUCCCAAUCUUUGUCUUGAGGAUUUGUGAUGGGGGAGCUUGCAGCUGCGAAUGGAUACAAGUCUGGGGGACAACUACACAUGUAACCCUUGCAAAUGCGAGUGAUGCGAAAUCUUGUGGCAAUUAAGCAAAAAGCAGAGAUGAGUCUAGUUUAAUUUGCAUUGACAAAUAAUCUUAAAAUUACUUCAAAAAUUGACUUUGUUGUGUACGUAGUUCGUGCGAUGAAAGAUUAAGGAUUAAUUAUAUGAUUUGGACGAUUUCCGUAAUCAGACAAGUGGAUCGUAGUAGAUUAGUAGGUAUGUAGUGGUGUUGCUUUUCCUUGUAACAAGCUAAUAGGAAACUUAUUCGAUAAAGUUUUCUCUUAUUUCUGGAGAUG